rnacentral:lncRNA from 1 species
CUAAAUUGAAUUGUUAGUAUUAUAAGUUCUCAAAAUAAAAUAAAAUAAAAUAAAUACGAUCCUCAAUCAUGUCACAUAGCCACCACCAUAGCCAUACUUGUCAUCGGAGACACCACACCUUUCCUACAAAUGUCGAGAAUAUCCUUAACAUGGUAACUGAGAAAGUUGAAAAGUAGAAAUGUGGUUGCAACACGAUGAAAAAGCACAAAGAUUUGUGAAAUCUUUCUUGCGACUUUU